CAGCCAGACUCCUACGGGAGGCAGCAGUGGGGAAUAUUGGGCAAUGGGCGCAAGCCUGACCCAGCAACGCCGCGUGAAGGAAGAAGGCUUUCGGGUUGUAAACUUCUUUUGACAGGGAGGAGCAGAAGACGGUACCUCUUGAAUAAGCCACGGCUAACUACGUGCCAGCAGCCGCGGUAAUACGUAGGUGGCAAGCGUUAUCCGGAUUUAUUGGGUGUAAAGGGCGUGUAGGCGGGAAAGCAAGUCAGAUGUGAAAACUAUGGGCUCAACCCAUAGCCUGCAUUUGAAACUGUUUUUCUUGAGUGCUGGAGAGGCGACCGGAAUUCCGUGUGUAGCGGUGAAAUGCGUAGAUAUACGGAGGAACACCAGUGGCGAAGGCGGAUUGCUGGACAGUAACUGACGCUGAGGCGCGAAAGCGUGGGGAGCAAACAGGAUUAGAUACCCUGAUACA
rnacentral:rRNA from 1 species